UCAAUUAUCACAACAUGACUUUUUCUUAUCACAAGAGCUUACACUAAUUUAUAGACCUCUCAAGGAUACAUUCAAGGAUAUAAUAUAUGACCCCAUGGAUGGAGUCUAUGAGACCUUUCUAGGGUUUUAUUCUAUGACAAAAGGGAAAGAAGAGGAGAGGGAGAGGGCAUCGAGUACAACUGCGUGUAUCAUCCAAACUCUUGCAGGUCUUCAAAGUGCAUGCAACCUCUAUCAGUUGUGAAGUGGAUUUGGACCUUGAGGCACCCCUCUGUCAGACACUCCAUAGAUAGAGCUUGCUUCAUCGUCUUCAUAGAUAGCCUGCGAAGGAGAUAUCUUGGUGAAAUAUGCACUGGACUGGGAAGAAAGCUCACCUUCCCUACUGGUCUCGACCUCCUUCCUCAUGACCCUAAUUCCAGAGCUUAAGCUAGAAAAGUGGCCCAUAAUAAGCAGUAUCAGGAGGAGCAUGGGUGGCAAAGUGAAGGUCUGCGGCUUCAUGGUGUCAUGCAAAAGAGACUUUGGGAGGAGAGAUUGAGUGAUUUGUUUGCUUGAGGAGUUUUGUAGGUUUCGGCUUUAUAGAGAUUUAAUGAGGAGUCAAAUCCAUGCCAUUCAUUCUACACGAGACAGAGAGCUGAAAGGCA
rnacentral:lncRNA from 1 species